rnacentral:rRNA from 1 species
CAGCAGCCGCGGUAAUACGUAGGUCCCGAGCGUUGUCCGGAUUUAUUGGGCGUAAAGCGAGCGCAGGCGGUUAGAUAAGUCUGAAGUUAAAGGCUGUGGCUUAACCAUAGUACGCUUUGGAAACUGUUUAACUUGAGUGCAAGAGGGGAGAGUGGAAUUCCAUGUGUAGCGGUGAAAUGCGUAGAUAUAUGGAGGAACACCGAUGGCGAAAGCGGCUCUCUGGCUUGUAACUGACGCUGAGGCUCGAAAGCGUGGGGAGCAAACAGGAUUAGAUACCCCUGUAGUCCCUGUCUCUUAUACA